CCCUUAGAAGUUCUGGGCUGCACGCGCGCGACACUGAUGCGCUCAAGGAGUUUACGACCUUGCCUGGAAAGGUUGGGUAAUCUUCUUAAAAAACAUCGUGAUGGAGCUAGAUUAUUGCAACUAUUAAUCUUCAACGAGGAAUUCCUAGUAAGCGCGAGUCAUCAGCUCGUGCUGAUUACGUCCCUGCCCUUUGUACACACCGCCCGUCGCUCCUACCGAUUGCGUGCUACUGAAUAAUUCGGACUGCAGCAACGUUCGGUUCCUGAAUGUCGCAGUGGAAAGUUUAGUGAACCUUAUCACUGAGAGAAAAAAAAAGUCGUAACA
rnacentral:rRNA from 1 species